GAUAAUUCCAGCCCAGCAAUGGUCAACAGGUGCAAACACCAACAAGUGACAUCAUUUCAGUAGAAGCAGUCCAUCAGUUGCACCCAGCAAUGUUGAGCAGGUGCAGACACCAACAAGUGACAUCAUUUCAGUAGAAGCAGUCCAUCAGUUGCACCCAGCAAUGUUGAGCAGGUGCAGACACCAACAAGUGACAUCAUUUCAGUAGAAGCAGUCCAUCAGUUGCACCCAGCAAUGUUGAGCAGGUGCAGACACCAACAAGUGACAUCAUUUCAGUAGAAGCAGUCCAUCAGUUGCACCCAGCAAUGUUGAGCAGGUGCAGACACCAACAAGUGACAUCAUUUCAGUAGAAGCAGUCCAUCAGUUGCACCCAGCAAUGUUGAGCAGGU